UGGGGAAUUUUGGACAAUGGGGGCAACCCUGAUCCAGCAAUGCCGCGUGAGUGAAGAAGGCCUUCGGGUUGUAAAGCUCUUUCGGCGGGGACGAAACGGUCCGUGACAACACCACGGACUAAUGACAGUACUCGCAGAAGAAGCACCGGCUAACUACGUGCCAGCAGCCGCGGUAAUACGUAGGGUGCAGGCGUUAAUCGGAAUUACUGGGCGUAAAGCGUGCGCAGGCGGCUCCUUAAGUCAGAUGUGAAAUCCCCGGGCUUAACCUGGGAACUGCGUUUGAAACUGAGGGGCUAGAGUGUGGAAGAGGGGGGUGGAAUUCCAGGUGUAGCAGUGAAAUGCGUAGAGAUCUGGAGGAACACCGAUGGCGAAGGCAGCCCCCUGGGCUAACACUGACGCUCAUGCACGAAAGCGUGGGGAGCAAACAGGAUUAGAUACCCACGUAGUCCCUGAGCGGGCUGGCAAGGCGCAU
rnacentral:rRNA from 1 species